UCCAUCAACAUAGUUGCAUCCAUUCCUUCAUCUCUUUUUCUUUUUCUCAGCCUAGGAGCAAGACAAGGAAGAAAAGCUUGUGGAGUUAAGUUUUGCUGCUGAAGUUGCUAAUCAAGGGAGGGUUUUGGACCAUUAGAGUUGAGAAGGAAUUGAAGUUUGAGUUGUGAGGAGGAAUUAGAGUGCUGAAAGGUGGCCCUGUGGAGAUGUGGGUAAGUUAAUUCAGCAGCAAAUUGAGUCAUAAGUAGCAGCCUGGAUGUUUCCCAACUGGUAGAGGUGGCCGAACAGUAACCUGAGACUUUUGGUGCUGAGGAACUAUAGGAGUUCCUGCUAUUGCUGCUGCUGCAGUGAUGAAUUGGACCAUUUGAAGCUGAGGACAACUUGAUGUUAUAUCUAAUUAAGAUUGAGAUCUGGAGCUUUGAGUAGUUGAGCUGAAAGUGAGAAGUGCUGAAAUUACAGCUUUGGUGAAGCUUCUGUUGAUGUUCCGAGCUGAGAAGAAGCUUGAAGGAGAGCUUCAAUUAAGGUCGACGACGCGCUAAUUACGGUAGAGACCGUUCUAGUUCAAUUUACACCGAGUCGCAAGAGCUAAUUGUCGACACAUUUCGAGACGUGGAUUCUAGUUGUUGACACCACUACAGCUUGGUGGUGGUCGCUCCCCCCAAGCAGUGCACUCCGGAGGUUGUCACAUGAUGGGCUAAAGUAUUUGCCCAUGGACUAAAGUAUAUGUCCAGCAGACGGUCCCGUCGGGAGGCAGCUUAGGGCCCGCAAGGGAUUGAGUUGGUGAGUUGCAGUUAACCAAAUGGUUAGCUAGUUUGAUUGGGCAGUGGUAUAUUACAAUAUGCAUGCAUAUUUACAGUUUUCAUAUAUAUUAUUUCUUUCAGCUUUGUACAGGCAUUGUAGUAGUUACAUGUACAGU